UGGACUGAGACGUAUCGCUUGAGUCGCAACAAAAAGGAAUGUAACGUUGCAGAUAAAGUUCUGAAUGACACAAUUUCAUGUUUACAACAUCUAAAGACCUGCAUCAAUAUACUGAGAGCUUUGCCGUUUCUAAAAGGAAGUAUUUGGGUUAUUUUGGAGCCUUUGUUCAUGUGUAUCCUCAGCCCCCAUACUGCAGAACGAGCAAUGAGGAAGUCUGUCGCGGGUGGGGGGAAGCUGGAUAAGUCUGUUCCUAAGCAUGAGCUGGCUCUGGACAUCAGGGAGAAUAGUUUUGGACCCAAACACCCCAGUAUGGCCACAGCAUUGGUCAACCUGGCUGUACUCUGCUGCCAACUGAAGAAGCAUAGUGAGGCGCUACCCCUGCAUGAAAAGGCUCUGAGAGUGUAAGAGGACAGUCUGUGAUGCUCACACCCACGGGUCGGAGAGACAGAACUAGCUGUACUCAGCUAUGUGAAGGGGGUCUUUGAGAAAGCAGCAGAGCUCUUCAAGCAAUCCAUGGAGAUCAAAGAGGCACUCUGGUUUGUGGAAGGCCCCUUGUCGACACUCGUCCAGUGGGGACAUGUUUAGUCUGCGAGGGCCCAUCCCUCUCCCACAUGCCCCCAGGUGACCCCUCCCUGUACCGCCCCUCCGAAGAACACAGGUGGUGGAUCUCAUUUAGCCUUUCCUUGAUCCUGUGUGUCCAUUUCCUCGUCUCCUUCUAGAAAUGCAUUGGUGGAGAAGGUCCGAGGGUAGGGACCUUGGAUCUUCUCCUCGAAUGCAUUUUGAGGAGGGGGAAAGGAGAAAGGACAUGAAGAAUCAAGGAAGUACAAUUGAGGGCCAUCCAGGGUUCACAAUCUGCAUUCCUGAGAAGAACAACGUCCAUUGCACUCUCAAUAGUUCGUUAUGUUGCUUUGGAAUGGAGCAGUGUAGUGGUGUCGCCUGUCAAGUGUACUGUAGCUAACUUUAUGUAAAUAUGAAGUAUGCUUUAUUUAAUGUCUGGUCAAUGGCUGUAUUUAUUUUUAUUUUUUUAAACAUAUUUUUAUAUAUACAUAUUAUUAAUGUAAUCAUGAAAUGAUGUCAACACCAGGUUAUGAAGAUGUUUUAUUCCAUAUUCAAAAGUUUCCCAAUUACCACUGCUCUCUGUUACUAUCUAUGGAAGCAUAUAUCUGUCAAAAUUCAAUUUCAUUUGUAUAAUGAUAAUGAUAAAUCAAUAUUACCA